CAGGACGAACGCUGGCGGCGUGCUUCAUACAUGCAAGUCGAACGAGAAAUCUACUUCGGUAGAUGGAAAGUGGCGGACGGGUGAGUAAUAUGUAGAGAAUCUGCCCUAGAGAGGGGGACAACCGUUGGAAACGACAGCUAAUACCCCAUAUGAGCGUACCUGAAAUGGUAUUCUUGAAAACUCCGGUGCUCUGGGAUGAGUCUGCAUCUGAUUAGCUAGUUGGGGGUGUAAUGGACCACCAAGGCGACGAUCAGUAGCUGGUUUGAGAGGAUGAUCAGCCACAAUGGGACUGAGACACGGCCCAUACUCCUACGGGAGGCAGCAGUAGGGAAUUUUGCGCAAUGGGCGAAAGCCUGACGCCAGCAACGCCGCGUGAUCGAGACGCUUUUCGGAGUGUAAAGAUCUGUCACAGGGGACGAACGAUGACGGUACCCUGAGAGGAAGCACCGGCUAACUCCGUGCCAGCCGCCGC
rnacentral:rRNA from 1 species